UUAGGAAUUUUGCGCAAUGGGGGAAACCCUGACGCAGCAACGCCGCGUGAGUGAUGAAGGCCUUCGGGUUGUAAAGCUCUUUUGCCAGGGAAGAAAAAAAUGACGGUACCUGGUGAAUAAGCACCGGCUAACUCUGUGCCAGCAGCCGCGGUAAUACAGAGGGUGCAAGCGUUAUUCGGAAUUAUUGGGCGUAAAGCGCACGUAGGCGGUCUUUCAAGUCUGGUGUGAAAUCCCUGUACUCAAUACAGGAAGUGCAUUGGAUACUGUUAGACUGGAGAAUGGGAGAGGAGAGCGGAAUUCCUGGUGUAGAGGUGAAAUUCGUAGAUAUCAGGAGGAACAACAGAGGCGAAGGCGGCUCUCUGGACCAUUUCUGACGCUGAGGUGCGAAAGCGUGGGGAGCAAACAGGAUUAGAUACCCCGGUAGUCC
rnacentral:rRNA from 1 species